UACGUAGGGGGCAAGCGUUGUCCGGAAUUAUUGGGCGUAAAGCGCGUGUAGGCGGCUCGGUAAGUCUGCUGUGAAAGUCCAGGGCUCAACCCUGGAAUGCCGGUGGAUACUGUCGAGCUCGAGUCCGGAAGAGGCGAGUGGAAUUCCUGGUGUAGCGGUGAAAUGCGCAGAUAUCAGGAGGAACACCAAUGGCGAAGGCAGCUCGCUGGGACGGUACUGACGCUGAGACGCGAAAGCGUGGGGAGCAAACAGGAUUAGAUACCCUGGUAGUCCACGCCGUAAACGAUGGGUACUAGGUGUAGGGGGUGUCGACUCCCCCUGUGCCGACGCUAACGCAUUAAGUACCCCGCCUGGGGAGUACGGCCGCAAGGCUAAA
rnacentral:rRNA from 1 species